UGGGGAAUAUUGCACAAUGGGGGAAACCCUGAUGCAGCGACGCCGCGUGAACGAAGAAGGUAUUCGUAUCGUAAAGUUCUGUCCUAUGGGAAGAUAAUGACAGUACCAUAGAAGAAAGCUCCGGCUAAAUACGGGCCAGCAGCCGCGGUAAUACGUAUGGAGCGAGCGUUGACCGGAAUUAUUGGGCGUAAAGGGUACGCAGGCGGUUUAAUAAGUCGAAUGUUAAAGAUCGGGGCUCAACCCCGUAAAGCAUUGGAAACUGAUAAACUUGAGUAGUGGAGAGGAAAGUGGAAUUCCUAGUGUAGUGGUGAAAUACGUAGAUAGUAGGAGGAAUACCAGUAGCGAAGGCGACUUUCUGGACACAAACUGACGCUGAGGUACGAAAGCGUGGGGAGCAAACAGG
rnacentral:rRNA from 1 species